rnacentral:rRNA from 1 species
CCUACGGGUGGCAGCAGUGGGGAAUAUUGGACAAUGGGCGAAAGCCUGAUCCAGCCAUGCCGCGUGUGUGAAGAAGGCCUGCGGGUUGUAAAGCACUUUCAGUGGGGAAGAAAGCCUUGGGGCUAAUACCCUCGAGGAAGGACAUCACCCACAGAAGAAGCACCGGCUAACUCCGUGCCAGCAGCCGCGGUAAUACGGAGGGUGCGAGCGUUAAUCGGAAUUACUGGGCGUAAAGCGCGCGUAGGCGGUCUGAUAAGCCGGUUGUGAAAGCCCCGGGCUCAACCUGGGAACGGCAUCCGGAACUGUCAGGCUAGAGUGCAGGAGAGGAAGGUAGAAUUCCCGGUGUAGCGGUGAAAUGCGUAGAGAUCGGGAGGAAUACCAGUGGCGAAGGCGGCCUUCUGGACUGACACUGACGCUGAGGUGCGAAAGCGUGGGUAGCAAACAGGAUUAGAUACCCCGGUAGUC